rnacentral:rRNA from 1 species
GACAGAGGAGCCAAGCGUUGUCCGGAUUGACUGGGCGUAAAGCGCACGCAGGCGGAACGGCGCGUGGGGUGUGAAAGCUGGCGGCUUAACUGCCAGUCGCCAUCCCAUACGGCCAUUCUGGAGCCUUGCAGAGGGCAGUGGAAUUGCCGGUGUAGUGGUGAAAUGCGUAGAGAUCGGCAGGAACACCCAGGGGGCAAACCGAAGCUGCCUGGGCCAAGGCCGGCUGACGCUGAGGUGCGAGAGCGUGGGGAGCGAACCGGAUUGAGAA